rnacentral:rRNA from 1 species
AUUGAACGCUGGCGGCAGGCCUAACACAUGCAAGUCGAGCGAGCGGCGGACGGGUGAGUAAUGUAUGGGGACUGCCCGAUAGCGGGGGAUAACUACUGGAAACGGUAGCUAAUACCGCAUACUAUCGGAUAACCCAUAUGGGAUUGGCUAGUAGGUGAGGUAAUGCAUCACGUAGGCGACGAUCACUAGCUGGUCUGCGAGGAGGAUCAGCAAAACGGGGACUGAGACACGGACCAGACGCCUACGGAGGCAGCAGUGGUGAAUAGUGCACAAUGGGCGAAAGACUGAUGCAGCCAUGCCGCGUGUAUGAAGAAGGCCCUAGGGUUGUAAAGGACUUUCAGUCGGGAGGCGUUACCGACAGAAGAAGCACCGGCUAACUCCGUGCCAGCAGCCGCGGUAAUAC